GCCAGGUCCAGUAGAGCUGUGUUGUGAUGGGCCUGGUCUAGUAGAGCUGUGUUGUGAUGGGCCAGGUCCAGUAGAGCUGUGUUGUGAUGGGCCAGGUCUAGUAGAGCUGUGUUGUGAUGGGCCAGGUCUAGUAGAGCUGUGUUGUGAUGGGCCGGGUCUAGUAGAGCUGUGUUGUGAUGGGCCGGGUCUAGUAGAGCUGUGUUGUGAUGGGACGGGUCUAGUCGUGCUGUCCUGAGGCGGGUCUGGUCUGGUAAAUAUGUGUUGUGAUGGGCCUGGUCUAGUAGAGCUGUGUUGUGAUGGGACGGGUCUGGUCCAGUAGAGCUGUGUUGUGAUGGGUCUGGUCUAGUAGAGCUGUGUUGUGAUGGGUCUGGUCUAGUAGAGCUGUGUUGUGAUGGGCCAGGUCUAGUAGAGCUGUGUUGUGAUGGGUCUGGUCUAGUAGAGCUGUGUUGUGAUGGGUCUGGUCUAGUAGAGCUGUGUUGUGAUGGGCCUGGUCUAGUAGAGCUGUGUUGUGAUGGGUCUGGUCUAGUAGAGCUGUGUUGGGAUGGGCCAGGUCUAGUAGAGCUGUGUUGG
rnacentral:lncRNA from 1 species